rnacentral:rRNA from 1 species
UACGUAGGGCGCAAGCGUUGUCCGGAAUUAUUGGGCGUAAAGAGCUCGUAGGCGGCUUGUCACGUCUGCUGUGAAAUCUCGGGGCUUAACUCCGGGCCUGCAGUGGGUACGGGCAGACUAGAGUGCGGUAGGGGAGACUGGAAUUCCUGGUGUAGCGGUGGAAUGCGCAGAUAUCAGGAGGAACACCAAUAGCGAAGGCAGCUCGCUGGGACGUUACUGACACUGAGGCGCGAAAGCGUGGGGAGCGAACAG